ACUAAGGUGUCUGAUUUAAGUAGUAAACUGUAAAUUUACUUAAAAGCUUUGUUUAGCUUUCUUAGUA
rnacentral:tRNA from 2 species